GUAGGGAAUAUUGGACAAUGGGCGAAAGCCUGAUCCAGCCAUGCCGCGUGAUAGAUGAAGGCCCUCUGGGUUGUAAAUAUCUUUUAUCUGGGAAGAAACUCCUCUAUUCUUAGAGGCCUGACGGUACCAGAGGAAUAAGCACCGGCUAACUCCGUGCCAGCAGCCGCGGUAAUACGGAGGGUGCAAGCGUUAUCCGGAUUCACUGGGUUUAAAGGGUGCGUAGGCGGGUUGAUAAGUCAGUGGUGAAAGCUCCGGGCUUAACUUGGAAACUGCCAUUGAUACUGUCAGUCUUGGAUGUCGUAGAGGUAAGCGGAAUGUUGAAUGUAGCGGUGAAAUGCUUAGAGAUGUUACAGAACACCAAUUGCGAAGGGAGCUUACUAUGCGAUAAUUGACGCUGAGGCACGAAAGCGUGGGGAGCAAACAGGAUUAGAUACCCUAGUAGUCC
rnacentral:rRNA from 1 species